UCCCCAUAUUAAACCUCAUUACCACAAAUUUACUUAGGAAAAAUAUUCAAAUCAUUCUCAGAAACACAAAUCAACAAGAAAAAUGAAAUAAACCGACAAUUAUACCGACGCAUGAGGUUUUCGACGGUAGUUGUAGCUCCCGUACAACGGUGUUAGCUCCGAGCAGGUUCUAAUCACAAGCAUGACUCUAGGCCUUUGAGAAUUUGGAAAUGUAUACCACUCGGUACUUGAUGCUUGCAUUUUCAACAUGAUGUAAUACUUUUGUUGCAAAUAUUCUUGUGCAAAUUUGUUUGACCUUGGCUUAACGUUUCCUUAUUAACAUAUUAUAACAGGUCUUGAAUAACUAAAUAUUACGUUUUUGCUUC